rnacentral:rRNA from 1 species
CAGCAGCCGCGGGAAUACGGAGGGUGCAAGCGUUAAUCAGAAUUACUGGGCGUAAAGCGCACGCAGGCGGUCUGUCAAGUCAGAUGUGAAAUCCCCGGGCUUAACCUGGGAACUGCAUUUGAAACUGGCAGGCUAGAGUCUUGUAGAGGGGGGUAGAAUUCCAGGUGUAGCGGUGAAAUGCGUAGAGAUCUGGAGGAAUACCGGUGGCGAAGGCGGCCCCCUGGACAAAGACUGACGCUCAGGUGCGAAAGCGUGGGGAGCAAACAGGAUUAGAUACCCGAGUAGUCCCUGUCUCUUAUAC